CGGCGGACGGGUGGGUAACACGUGGAUAACCUACCUAUAAGACUGGGAUAACUUCGGGAAACCGGAGCUAAUACCGGAUAAUAUAUUGAACCGCAUGGUUCAAUAGUGAAAGACGGUUUUGCUGUCACUUAUAGAUGGAUCCGCGUCGCAUUAGCUAGUUGGUAAGGUAACGGCUUACCAAUGCAACGAUGCGUAGCCGACCUGAGAGGGUGAUCGGCCACACUGGAACUGAGACACGGUCCAG
rnacentral:rRNA from 1 species